AGGAGCUGCGUGCCCGGGUGCGGGCCCUGGUGCUGUCCCUGGAGCGGAGCAGCGCUGUCAGCCGCGCGCAGCAAGCACAGUGUGUCACCGUCACCGUGGAUUUGUUCCACGCACACAGCACGCUGGCCCUGGCGUACCGGGGGGCCCGGCGGAAGCAGGCGGCUCAGCUGCGGCGCCUGGAGCUGCAGGCGGGUGCCCUGCGACGGCAGCACGCCCGGCAGGCGCAGGCGCUGGCCCGCAGCCUGCACACCCUGGAGCAGGGGACGGCCGACACCGAGACCUGCAUCUAGGGGGACACCCCCACCCCCUCACGUCACCCCCCAAAGCCCCUCCCGUGCUUCGAGGCGGCUGCUGUAUCCCCAGGGAGAAUAAACCACUGAUGCUCGUG